GACGAACGCUGGCGGCGUGCCUAAUACAUGCAAGUAGAACGCUGAAGGAGGAGCUUGCUUCUCUGGAUGAGUUGCGAACGGGUGAGUAACGCGUAGGUAACCUGCCUGGUAGCGGGGGAUAACUAUUGGAAACGAUAGCUAAUACCGCAUAAGAGUAGAUGUUGCAUGACAUUUGCUUAAAAGGUGCAAUUGCAUCACUACCAGAUGGACCUGCGUUGUAUUAGCUAGUUGGUGGGGUAACGGCUCACCAAGGCGACGAUACAUAGCCGACCUGAGAGGGUGAUCGGCCACACUGGGACUGAGACACGGCCCAGACUCCUACGGGAGGCAGCAGUAGGGAAUCUUCGGCAAUGGACGGAAGUCUGACCGAGCAACGCCGCGUGAGUGAAGAAGGUUGUCGGAUCGUAAAGCUCUGUUGUAAGAGAAGAACGAGUGUGAGAGUGGAAAGUUCACACUGUGACGGUAUCUUACCAGAAAGGUACGGCUAACUACGUG
rnacentral:rRNA from 1 species